AUGGCCGGCUGCGGAGAGAAGAGCGACGCCGGCGUUGGCCUGUACGCCGUGCUCGGCGUUGCGAGCGACUGCUCCGACGCGGAGCUGCGCAGCGCCUACAGGAAGCUGGCCAUGAAAUGGCACCCGGACAAGUGCGGCAGCGGCAGCUCCGGCGGCUCGGAGGCCGCCAAGGCCAGGUUCCAGAAGAUCCAGGCAGCAUACGCUGUUCUGUCGGACCCCAACAAGCGUAUCCUCUACGACGUUGGAGCCUACGAGAGCGAUGGCGAUGACGAGGGUGCAGGAGAAAUACUGGGAGACAUCCUGGAGGCCAUGAACCACACACCUCCACACGAAGACGGCGAGAGCGAGAGCCUGGAGGACCUGCACAAGCAGUUCGAGGAGCUGUUCCUCAAACCGGACGCCUACGCGUACGCGCGCUCCUCCAAGUCCUCCUCGUCGUCGUCCAAGAUAAGUGCCGGCAAGAAGUAG
rnacentral:rRNA from 1 species